CAGGUGGUCAGGUAGAGAAUACCAAGGCGCUUGAGAGAACUCGGGUGAAGGAACUAGGCAAAAUGGUGCCGUAACUUCGGGAGAAGGCACGCUGACACGUAGGUGAAGUGAUUUACUCAUGGAGCUGAAGUCAGUCGAAGAUACCAGCUGGCUGCAACUGUUUAUUAAAAACACAGCACUGUGCAAACACGAAAGUGGACGUAUACGGUGUGACGCCUGCCCGGUGCCGGAAGGUUAAUUGAUGGGGUCAGCGCAAGCGAAGCUCCUGAUCGAAGCCCCGGUAAACGGCGGCCGUAACUAUAACGGUCCUAAGGUAGCGAAAUUCCUUGUCGGGUAAGUUCCGACCUGCACGAAUGGCGUAAUGAUGGCCAGGCUGUCUCCACCCGAGACUCAGUGAAAUUGAACUCGCUGUGAAGAUGCAGUGUACCCGCGGCAAGACGGAAAGACCCCGUGAACCUUUACUAUAGCUUGACACUGAACAUUGAGCCUUGAUGUGUAGGAUAGGUGGGAGGCUUUGAAGUGUGGACGCCAGUCUGCAUGGAGCCGACCUUGAAAUACCACCCUUUAAUGUUUGAUGUUCUAACGUGGACCCGUUACCCGGGUUGCGGACAGUGUCUGGUGGGUAGUUUGACUGGGGCGGUCUCCUCCUAAAGAGUAACGGAGGAGCACGAAGGUUGGCUAAUCCUGGUCGGACAUCAGGAGGUUAGUGCAAUGGCAUAAGCCAGCUUGACUGCGAGCGUGACGGCGCGAGCAGGUGCGAAAGCAGGUCAUAGUGAUCCGGUGGUUCUGAAUGGAAGGGCCAUCGCUCAACGGAUAAAAGGUACUCCGGGGAUAACAGGCUGAUACCGCCCAAGAGUUCAUAUCGACGGCGGUGUUUGGCACCUCGAUGUCGGCUCAUCACAUCCUGGGGCUGAAGUAGGUCCCAAGGGUAUGGCUGUUCGCCAUUUAAAGUGGUACGCGAGCUGGGUUUAGAACGUCGUGAGACAGUUCGGUCCCUAUCUGCCGUGGGCGCUGGAGAACUGAGGGGGGCUGCUCCUAGUACGAGAGGACCGGAGUGGACGCAUCACUGGUGUUCGGGUUGUCAUGCCAAUGGCACUGCCCGGUAGCUAAAUGCGGAAGAGAUAAGUGCUGAAAGCAUCUAAGCACGAAACUUGCCCCGAGAUGAGUUCUCCCUGAGACUUAGAGUCUCCUGAAGGAACGUUGAAGACGACGACGUUGAUAGGCCGGGUGUGUAAGCGCAGCGAUGCGUUGAGCUAACCGGUACUAAUGAACCGUGAGGCUUAACCUU
rnacentral:rRNA from 1 species